rnacentral:tRNA from 1 species
GUGGCUGUGGCUCAGUGGUAGAGUGCUCACCUAGCAUGUGCGGGGCCCUGGGUUCCAUCCUCAACAUCACA